UUCAAAAACUGCAAUGAGAGAAGCUGGCGAGGUACUUAAAUGCAAGUGGGCCACCAACAAAAGCUGUUGCAGAGUGGAAACGAAUUUGGACACUUCGGAAAUAAAAAAAACUCACUGAAAACAAAAAAUUAAUUAAGAAAACUGGUGGUGGCCCAUUUGACUUAAAGCAGCUCGAUGAAAGCGAAGAAGUAGUUGCUGCUUGUGGGAUGAAAACUUCAGUGACAGGCAUUGAAGGAGCCCUAACGUUUGGCACCACCGUGGACACACAAG